rnacentral:rRNA from 1 species
ACAGCAGUAGCCACGGUAAUACGUAGGGUGCGAGCGUUGUCCGGAAUUACUGGGCGUAAAGGGCUCGUAGGUGGUUUGUCGCGUCGUCUGUGAAAUUCUGGGGCUUAACUCCGGGCGUGCAGGCGAUACGGGCAUAACUUGAGUGCUGUAGGGGUAACUGGAAUUCCUGGUGUAGCGGUGAAAUGCGCAGAUAUCAGGAGGAACACCGAUGGCGAAGGCAGGUUACUGGGCAGUUACUGACGCUGAGGAGCGAAAGCAUGGGUAGCGAACAGGAUUAGAUACCCCAGUAGUCCCUGUCUCUUAUA